UCCCUGUCCUUCGGAAAUUACUUGUGUACUUGUGCGUAAUUCAUCAUUGUCCAAAGUUUGAUUAGUGAACGUAAUACGUUCAGAAAUAUAUAUAAAGACGGCUCUCAUUUGAGCGAGCGCAGUCGUUUGUCCUGGAGCUAAAUAAUUUUUUGCAAGUACAGCAGGACUGACCUGGACACGUUGUGGAAUAAUUGACCUUAUUUGUUUAUCAAUAGCACUAAAAUUCAUGUUAUGAAUAUUAGUACCUACAGAGAACUGCACUGGCUCGCCGUCGGCUAAAACAUUCCCAAUACAUUCACUGAGAUCCUUCAAUGGUUCAUAUACCGGCAUCGAAAGCUUAUUGAAGAUUUCUUCCCGUUUCGCCGCAAACUCGGCUUUCGUGUAUGUCUUUGUACGUUUCAAAUCAUCUUUUACUGAUUUUAAUGUAUGAGGCGAUGCAGGACGAACACCUUUUUGAGGAACAUUGUGCGCCGGAUAACUUACCGGAGGAGUUGGUUGGAGACUGGGCUUACGUUUUGACGAUCCACGACGCAAAAGCUUUUUGAAAGUUUUUUUUAAAAAUCCACCACCUUUUCUAAACGAUUGAGCAGUUGAGGGUCGCUCCGUUGUUUGCGGUCUUGGCUUUAUAACAUUCGACGCGGUGGUCCGAACUUGAGUUAGUGGUAUCAAUGUUGAAACGGGUCUGGGAAUAGGUGCGGGAGCACUCUGAAAACGCCUGUGCUGCGGAAAAUAAUCAGACGGAGAUAAAACUGAUGAAGCCAUGGAAGGUUUUCUAGAAAUAUCUCUUGAAGACUUCAUAGGUGAUUCUCCUGGUUGCAAACUUGUUCUUGGUUUUGACGAAUUAUCUGUUGAAUCAUCCAGCUUGGAUCGAGAAGUCAUACUUGUGGACCCAUGUGCAGGAGGGACAGGAAUGAAGUCCGUUUCUUUGCUAGUUGUAGUGCUUUUCGUAAGUCUUAAAAGAGGGGAAUUCGCUCGACUAAAACUUUUUUUGCCCAUUGCAUUUAACGAUUGAAGAACAUUUUCCAUAGCACUUCUUAAAGGGGAAGGUGUAGAUCUACUUAAAUCUUGGGCAUCAAUCUGAGAGUCGUUAUCGGCUGUAUUGUCCCAUCUGGAAGAGACAUCUAAGUUGGUACGAGACAUUGAAGAUGGCGGUCUAGAUACGCUUUUCUUAAGUGACAGACUUGAUCCUAGCGAAUUGAGCAUGGGGUGACUUUUUUGGUGUUUUAGUGAGUCACUCUCUCGGGUUGGUUUAUUCAAAGCAUUUGAGCUUCCAACGAGAUCAGGAGUUAGACCUUGAUCAGAUGAAGUUAUUGGGGUGUCUAUAGAGCUUUUUUGAGGAGAAGAAUAUCUAAAGCUAGAAGCGCUAGUUCUUGACAUAGAACUGCCAGGUCGUACCGUGGGAAUAUCUAAACAGUGAACAAAGUUGCUAGGAAAUAUCCCUUGUGUAUUAGUAUUGAUAUGUCUGCCAAUCCACCAUUUUCCAUCACCUAUGCUUAAGCAUUCUAUUAAAUCUCCUUCUGUAAAUUUUAAAUCACCUGAAAACACAUUAAUAUAUAUUUUUUAAACUUUACAUCAAUAAUUGCGACGUUACUUAACAGCAUCUUUAAAUGUUACGAACCUUCACGUUCACCUGGCCAUGCAUACAGAGCACGUACCAUGCAUGGUAGUUGUUUAGGAAUGGACAUUCCUGAAGGCUUAAAGGAAUGAAAUUAUAGUCUUUGGUAGUUAAUAUAAAAAACGAGCGGAGCGGAAGUUCCGUAACGUGAUGUGAGUUGUGUAUGAAUGUGAAGAUAAGAUUCUUAUUUAAGCGAAGUACACUAAUAACUUUGUUUUUUUUUUAGAGCUCAAUUAACCGAGUACAUCAUAAUUUUUCUAAUAACGCGACUUAUAUACUUAGCGCACAAUUAAAAAAUGGAAAUAUUUUCAAUAAUACUCGAUAAAAUGCAGAUCGGUAAUAAAUUCAACCAUACUAGAAUUUCAUUUUAGGAAAAUUAAAAAAAGAAAGAUAUUUGGCUACCAUGAAACAUUCUUUAACGAUAAAGAGUGCGAUGUUAGAUUCAUUUCAUGUAGAUUAUAAUUGAUUUAGUGAGAAAAUUUACUAAAAUUGUUAGAAGUCCUAGAAGGGUUCAUUUUAACUUGAAAUAUGUGGUACAUUUGCACUUCUGUAAUUUUUUUAAAGAGCUUUUUGCACAAGACAUAAUAUUCAAAUGAUUUGAAACCAGCAUCCAUAUUUAUGCGCACUUUAAGCCAUAUUAUUUAGAUGAAAUAAUCUAGGUUUUAAUUUACCAAAUGUAAUUUUCAAAAAUUUGCACGAUGCUUCAGUCCAUAUGAGAUUCCUCUUUAAUAAAGCUAGCAACUUUCGC